rnacentral:rRNA from 1 species
UGGCGAACGGGUGAGUAACACGUGGGUGAUCUGCCCUGCACUCUGGGAUAAGCCUGGGAAACUGGGUCUAAUACCGGAUAGGACCAUGCUUUAGUGUGUAUGGUGGAAAGUUUUUUCGGUGUAGGAUGAGCCCGCGGCCUAUCAGCUUGUUGGUGGGGUAAUGGCCUACCAAGGCGGCGACGGGUAGCCGGACUGAGAGGUUGGUCGGCCACAUUGGGACUGAGAUACGGCCCAG